rnacentral:lncRNA from 1 species
GCUUGGGUCCAUUGAAGAAUGGUGGGGUUGUUGUAGGAAUUGAUAUUAAGAGCAGAAGGAAUUUCAACUCGGAAGAUAGCUUUAGCGACGACGACUUGAAUGUCGUAAGGCAUUAAUGAAACUGGUUGAGGAAGCAAAAUUACAAGGUGAGGGAAAUUGAGAAUCGUGAAUUCACCUUUGAUGCUUAAAGUUGUUACAUCAUGAGCGCGUACUGCCAUUUCUAGGGUAGCAAAAGUGCCAAGCCAAAUGCGGGACUUCUUGCGGGGCUCAAGAAUUUCGGACACCCAUUUGUCCCAACUCCUCAUUCUCAUCCCUCUGUAGAUCGAGUGUUUGCUGAUUGAUGAUCUUUUGGCUUUGCUGUUAUCUCCCAUGGAUUCACGACCUGUCCAGGUUAGGCCCUUGAAAAAUUGAAAAAAGAAGAAGAAGAAGAAACACACACUGAAAAUUGGCUCUAAUAAUAAUAAUAAUCAAUUCAAAAUCGGUGUAUUUCAAUUAAGUUAAUUGGGUUAAGGACUGUUUGCUGAUUAUUUCUCAUUUCUGGGUUGAAUUUUGUUGGAAUGCAAUGACCACUGUAUUAAUUUGUAACAUUUAACUAACUAUUGCAAUUUCCUCUUUAAUGGUUAGGGAGUAAUUGAUUAUAAUCUGCCAUUACAUUGGUGAAAUAUCAAAGACUGAUAUAGGCUUAAAAAAGUGUUAAUUUUUAAUAACAUUUUUCUUGUUAGUAAUUUGUGUUCUAAUUUUUUGCAAAGCUCCAGCUCUGUAGCUUCUAUAGUUUUUUUUUUUUUUUUGUAGAUCCAUCAUAUUGGUUUCUUUUAACUAUGUAGCCUUUGUACAUACAUUCUACAGAUCUUGUAAUGUAGCCUCUGUGGUUAUGCUAUAGAUCUAAGCUUCAACUUUCUCUAUGUCUAAUAAUUAAUAAAUGAGAUUGAAAUAAUAAAAUAACAUUAUAAUAGUAGUAGCACCUGCAUUAAUUAUACUUCCAUUACAUGUUCUACUGUCGACUAUUACUUUUUUCAUUUGCAAACUUGAUUUAUGGAAACUAUAGUGUUACCAUUUUUCUAGUCAUUUAUCUUGGUGAAUGGUGACUACUUCUGAUGGCUCAUCGAUGGACUUGAACAAGGGGGAAAAAGUUUGCCCUUAUCUAAAACUCUCGUUUUCCAGAAAAAUAAUACUUUGUUUUGUCAUUUACUUGUGUGAGGUUCAUUUUAUUAAAGUUCUAGGGUAAAGAAAUCUUUGACACUCAAAUUCAACUUCCUUUAUGUUGUUUGGGUAUAACUCCAUGUGUUAUGUUUUUGAGUGCACAUAUGAUACGAUUAGCUUCCUACAACUAUUUAUGGCUUGUAUAGUUUCUUAUUGCUUUGAUGAGAUAUCCAUUUUUAUCUCCAAAUAAGUGUUACUAAGCAUGGUACUUUUUGCUUGUUUGUUUGAUAGUUUUGGUUAAUGGUAAGUUUUUAUAAAUAUAGACAUUUUGCCUUUUAGUAGAGGCAUUUACAUGUGCAGAUCUCUGCAGCCUUUUGAUAUAACAUUACUUUUUGAGGAUAUAUUACUUUUGCAUAUCCUUUACUAGAAUGGCAUGCAGGAUUGGUGAUAAUUGGUUUGUUUUGUUUAAAAAAGAACUUGUAGUUCAUGUAUGAUAUUUUUGUAUACGAAAUUGGUUUUUGUAUACGCUAACAUUUUGCAGGUAAGAUCAAACUAAAUCAUCUAUAGUAGAUGUUAUUCUCCCUACACUUCUCCCAUUUGCUGAAGUUCAUGUUAUGUACUACUGCAUACGGUAGAUCCUGGUUGUUUGAACUUUGCAAUAUAUGAACACUUGUUUACUCAGCUAUCACUCCUAAACUUCUUCCUUUGUCAUCAUCUUCUAUGCUUUUUCCUAUGUGGUAUUUCAUCACCAGGUACACUGUUCAACCUAAUAUUUGAUUGUCUUUGCAUUUCUAAGAUAUAUGAAGUUUUUUAGGUUUCCCUUCAUUCCAUUAAAUGCUAAUUAAAUGCUGGAAAUAUACGUAUAUAUUUUAUAGUUGUACAAUACAAGACAUGUAGUCCAUUCCAAGAUGAAGAGAUAGUAUCCUUAGUGAUUAAUUAUUAAGCGGAGUGAAUCCAAGGGACUAAUUUCAUCUUAUAGAGUCCUCUGGUUAAACAACUAUUAAUAUGGUGAAAUAAAGGUAUAGCACAUCCCUUUGAGGUAGGGACAACAUUUGGUACUUGUCAUGAAAUCCAUGCUAGUUUGCAUGUUAUUCACAAAAUUAGAUUGAGAACAAGUUCAUGGUACGAAAUUACAGCAUGAAUGUUAUUUAAUUAUAUAUUUGUAUGCUUUUGACCUAUGUUCCCAGCUGACGAUUAAGGCUCGCAGGUUCAAUACUGUAGCCUCCAAAACAGUUAGCGCGAGCCUACGCUCCCAGCUGGUAUCUUAAGACUUGCAGGUUCAAUACCAUAGCCUCCAAAACAGUUAGCGCGAGCCUACGCUCCCAAUUGGUAUCUUAAGGCUCGCAGGUUCAAUACCGUAGCCUCCAAAACAGUUAGUGCAAGCCUACGUUCCUAGCUGAUAUCCUAAGACUCGCAGGUUUAAUACCGCAACCUCCAAAACAGUUAGCGCGAGCCUACGCUCCCAGCUGAUAUCCUAAGGCUCGUAGCUUUAAUACCGCUGCCUCCAAAAUAAUUAGCGCGAGCCUACACUCCCAGCUGAUAUUCUAAGGCUCGUAGGUUCAAUACUAUAGCCUCCAAAACAGUUAACGUGAGCUUACGCUCCUAGGUGGUAUCAUAAGGCUCGCAGGUUCAAUACCGUAACCUCCAAAACAGUUAGCGCGAGUUUAUGCUCCCAGCUAGUAUCUUAAGGCUCACAGGUUCAAUAUCACAGCCUCCAAAAUAGUUAGCGCGAGCUUACGCUCCCAAAUGGUAUCCUAAGGCUUGCAUGUUCAAUACUGCAACCUCUAAAACAGUUAACGCGAGCCUACGCUCCUAGCUGAUAUCCUAAGGCUCACAGGUUCAAUACCGCAGCCUCCAAAAUAGUUAGCGUGAGCCUAUGCUCCCAGCUGAUAUCUUAAGGCUCGCAGGUUCAAUACUACAACCUCCAAAAUGAUUAGCGCGAGCUUACGCUCCCAGCUGGUAUCAUAAGGCUCGUAGGUUUAAUAUUGCAGCUUCCAAAAUAGUUAGUGCGAGCUUAUGCUCCCAGCUGGUAUCUUAAGGCUCGCAGGUUCAAUACCGCAGCCUCCAAAACAGUUAGUGCGAACCUACGCUCCCAGUUGGUAUCCUAAGGCUUGCAGGUUCAAUACUGCAACUCUAAAACAAUUAGCGUGAGCAUACUCCCAGUUGAUAUCUUAAGGCUCCCAGGUUCAAUACCGCAGCCUCCAAAACAAUUAGCGCGAGCUUAUGCUCCCAGUUGGUACCUUAAGGCUCACAAGUUCAAUACCGCAGCCUCCAAAACAGUUAGCGCGAACCUACGCUCCCAACUGGUAUCCUAAGGCUUGCAGGUUCAAUACCGCAACUCUAAAACAAUUAGCGUGAGCCUACGCUCCCAGUUGAUAUCCUAAGGCUCGCAAGUUCAAUACCGCAGCAUACAAAAUAGUUAGUGCGAGCUUACGCUCCCAACUGGUAUCUUAAGGCUUGCAGAUUCAAUACCGCAACCUCCAAAACAGUUAGCGCGAGCCUACGCUCCCACUUGGUAUCCUAAGGCUCGCAGGUUCAAUAUCGCAGCAUCCAAAAUAGUUAGCGCGAGCUUACACUCCCAGCUAAUAUCUUAAGGCUCGCAGGUUCAAUACCGCAGCCUCCAAAAUAGUUAGUGCCAACUUACGUUCCUAGCCGAUAUUAUAAAGGCUUGCUGAUUUAAGAUCGCAGCCUCCAAAACAACUCAUUGACCUACGUUCACAGUUGAUGUUACCAAGGUUAGUUAAUUUAAGAUCGCAGUUUCCGAACAGCUCGCUAAUUUAAAAUUGUAGCUGAUAUUGUUAAGGCUCGUUGAUUUAAGAUUGCAGCUUAAGUUCAUUCGAUUUAAUGUCAUCAAUUAUUUUAUUUUAUUUUUCUUACGAGAAAUACAGUUCGCUGUAUUCUGCAAUGCAAUUUUUGACUCCUGUAUCACACUAUCAAACAACAAAACUUGUUCAAUAAUGCUUCAAGUUAAAAUCUAUAUGGUAAUCCCCAAAUUACAUGCACUUCAUAUAUGUCAGAUCGUCUAAGAAGAGUCACUUUAUAACUCUUCUUCGACCAGGUGGGGGACAAAUUGUUAUACGGUGAUAAUAAUUUAUAUUAAUUUAUAUUUUAUAUUUUAUAUUUUAUUAUAUAAUUACUCGACCCGGUAUAAUAGAAAGAGACAGACUUCGGACGAUUGGGGGGAUCCUCCUCAUGCUUCUACCUAGGGACCUUCUUCCCACUUUUUCCAUAGCUCUUCCGAUCUCCAUUUCUGUUGAUAAAUUGUAUCAACAGACUUGUUCAUGAGUCGGGCUACCCGUUCACACCCGAAGGUUUGCCCGAAAUUUUGAAGGGUUUAGGCAAAAUAUUAGGCCCAAAAAAUGGGCUUAGGCAAAAAAAAAUAGGCUUAUUUAAAAUAUAAGGUAGGCUUGAGCUUGAACAUUCAAGGCCUAAGCCCGGCCCGACCCAACCUAUUUUUAAGUUUAUAAUACUUUAUAUUAUGUUAUUUUUAUAUAUUAUGUAAUUUAUAACACAUUAAAAAAAUAAACCUAUACUAAAUAUAUAAUACUAUUCUAAUGUAAACAUUAAAAUAAUGUUAAGAUGACUAUAUAAAAAAUUUCAGUAAUUAAAUAAAAUAAAAUUAUUAAUAUUAAAAUAAAAUAAAUAUUUUUAAAAAUAAUUAAAAUAUAAUAUGGGCGGGCCUAAAAUGAGUUUGGGUUAGUCUUUUGCAAAUAUAGGCGGGUUUGGACAAAAUUUUAAGCUCAUAUCUUGAGUCGGGUCAAGCUUGGGCAAGAAUAAAAAAUGUUAAUAUCAUGUUUAGGCUCGGAACGACUCGACCCAUGAGCACCUUUAGUUUGAGAUUGGUUUGUAUAUAUUGAGAUUAAUUUUGGAAUACUAUAAAGUCGGUUUGGUAGAUUCAUUUAGUUUAAGAAUGAUAAAACUUGUUUUCAACAAAAAUAAGAUCUAGAAGAUUAGAAUAAGAAAAACAAUUAAAAUAAGAACAACGAUAGUUAAAAAUAUUGUAACUUAAUUAGAAGAUUAGAAUAAGAACAAUGAUAGUUAAAUGUUGAUUUAUUUGAGUCUAUCAAUAAGAUCCAUUAGAUUAAUUUAUCAUCAUUCAUGUUUAAUAUUUCUUGGAUUAGAAGUUCUUAUGAUAUUAAAGUAGAUAUUAAUUUUACUUAGAAAAAAUAAAAUCUGUUUAUGGUUGAGAUUAGAUUAAUUGUCGUGUAAGUGAUAACUUAGAUUUAGUUUUAAUAAGUUUGUAUGAUUUUCUUCACUGAAGCGAAAGAGAUAGAUGGAAUGUCGAAACUGAAUAUCAUUGAAGUUUUGGUCGCUUCUAAACAAUGAACGCUUAGAAUUAAAAUUUGUGCUCUCUAUCAUUUGAUAAUAUUGUAUAAUAUGCUAAAUUACUUGUGCGUGUAACCAUUAUGAAAAUGUAUAAUUUGUGAUGAAUGGUUUGGUUAAUUAUUUCUGGAAUCGUUAUCCAUUUGCAUUAAAUUGAAUUUUAAUUUAUGUAUUUCAACCCUUGUAAAUGAUGUUGGAAACUAUCCAAGUAUAGUUGGCAUGCCAUAAAGUAUAAAGCUCUUUAAAGAUUUGUUAUGCGAGUUUGUUAGCGAGCGCCUGAAAGUAUUGCAUUGUUGCACUUUGCGCAUUUGAUGUGUUGGUUGGUUAAGUUGUGCUAUGCACGCACCAGAGUAUCGUUAAACAUUUAGUGUACGGUAACUGGUUUUGGUUGGAUACUCAAUGUAUCCAACAUGAUUUCCCGCAUAAGGUUACUCAAGCUUACCGGAUAUAUUAAAGAUUGAAUUGAAUUGUUCAUUAUAUCGAAUGUAAUUUUAAAUAUUUGUCUUACCUAUGUCGAGUGUGUGGGUAUAUUAUGUUGAUUUGUUAUAUGUUAUAUGGUUGAUAAUAGUUGUUUGUAUGAUUGUAAAUUUAGUAUAAUUAUGCAAUAUUAUGUUAAACUGCAAUAGAUAUUGCACACCACUGAGUUGUAAAAAGCUCAAUGUUCGAGUUUUUAAUUCUAUGUGCAGGUAAUAGUUAGAUCGAAGAGUUCGUGAUCAAGUAACAUCGCCAAAUAUUCUCUGCAAUUUGUAUUUCGUGAAGACAUUAUCACUUAGUUUUAGCCUUGGCAUUGAUCUGCCACUAUUCGUUGUGGAAAAUUGAGCUCUUUUUUGACAAUUAAUGAGCUUAUAUCAAGUAAUUUGUUAUUGUUUUAGUUAGAUUCUCAAUUUAGUACUUCUAUAUUUGAAUUCAAUAAAAUGAGCACUUUAAGUUUGUUUUAUGACCUAUUA